rnacentral:rRNA from 1 species
AGAGUUUGAUCCUGGCUCAGGAUGAACGCUAGCGGCAGGCUUAACACAUGCAAGUCGAGGGGCAGCGGGGAGGAAGCUUGCUUUCUCCGCCGGCGACCGGCGCACGGGUGAGUAACACGUAUGCAACCUGCCCCUGUCAGGGGGACAACCCGCCGAAAGGCGGGCUAAACCCGCGUACAUGCCACCGGGGCAUCCCGGAGGCAGGAAAGGCUUCGGCCGGACAGGGAUGGGCAUGCGGCGCAUUAGGCAGUAGGCGGGGUAACGGCCCACCUAACCGACGAUGCGUAGGGGUUCUGAGAGGAAGGUCCCCCACACUGGUACUGAGACACGGACCAGACUCCUACGGGAGGCAGCAGUGAGGAAUAUUGGUCAAUGGUCGGGAGACUGAACCAGCCAAGCCGCGUGAGGGAGGAAGGUACAGAGUAUCGUAAACCUCUUUUGUCAGGGAACAAAGGCGGGGACGUGUCCCCGGAUGAGUGUACCUGAAGAAAAAGCAUCGGCUAACUCCGUGCCAGCAGCCGCGGUAAUACGGAGGAUGCGAGCGUUAUCCGGAUUUAUUGGGUUUAAAGGGUGCGCAGGCGGUCUGUUAAGUCAGCGGUCAAAGCCCGGGGCUCAACCCCGGCCCGCCGUUGAAACUGGCAGUCUCGAGUUGGAGAGAAGUAUGCGGAAUGCGCGGUGUAGCGGUGAAAUGCAUAGAUAUCGCGCAGAACUCCGAUUGCGAAGGCAGCAUGCCGGCUCCACACUGACGCUGAGGCACGAAAGCGUAGGUAUCGAACAGGAUUAGAUACCCUGGUAGUCCACGCAGUAAACGAUGAAUGCUGGCUGUCCGGGGGGACUGACCCCUGGGUGGCGAAGCGAAAGCGAUAAGCAUUCCACCUGGGGAGUACGCCGGCAACGGUGAAACUCAAAGGAAUUGACGGGGGCCCGCACAAGCGGAGGAACAUGUGGUUUAAUUCGAUGAUACGCGAGGAACCUUACCCGGGCUCAAACGGGGAGUGCCGCAGGCAGAGACGCCUGUUUCCCACGGGACACUCCCCGAGGUGCUGCAUGGUUGUCGUCAGCUCGUGCCGUGAGGUGUCGGCUUAAGUGCCAUAACGAGCGCAACCCCCGCGUGCAGUUGCUAACAGAUAACGCUGAGGACUCUGCACGGACUGCCGGCGCAAGCCGCGAGGAAGGCGGGGAUGACGUCAAAUCAGCACGGCCCUUACGUCCGGGGCGACACACGUGUUACAAUGGGUGGUACAGCGGGAAGCCAGGCGGCGACGCCGAGCGGAACCCGAAAUCCACUCUCAGUUCGGAUCGGAGUCUGCAACCCGACUCCGUGAAGCUGGAUUCGCUAGUAAUCGCGCAUCAGCCAUGGCGCGGUGAAUACGUUCCCGGGCCUUGCACACACCGCCCGUCAAG